GACGAACGCUGGCGGCGUGCUUAACACAUGCAAGUCGAACGGUAAGGCUCCAUCUUGCUGGGGUACACGAGUGGCGAACGGGUGAGUAACACGUGGGUGACCUGCCCUGCACUUCGGGAUAAGCCUGGGAAACUGGGUCUAAUACCGGAUAGGACCAUGGUGUGGAUACUGUGGUGGAAAGUUUUUUCGGUGUGGGAUGGGCCCGCGGCCUAUCAGCUUGUUGGUGGGGUAAUGGCCUACCAAGGCGGCGACGGGUAGCCGGCCUGAGAGGGUGGACGGCCACAUUGGGACUGAGACACGGCCCAGACUCCUACGGGAGGCAGCAGUGGGGAAUAUUGCACAAUGGGCGGAAGCCUGAUGCAGCGACGCCGCGUGGGGGAUGACGGCCUUCGGGUUGUAAACUCCUUUCACCAUCGACGAAGGGUUUCUGACGGUAGAUGGAGAAGAAGCACCGGCUAACUACGUG
rnacentral:rRNA from 1 species